UGUGGCGUGUUAGGGGUAAUUGCCCUGUUUCCGUCUCAUAACCUGAAGGUCGCAGGUUCAAAUCCUGCCCCCGCAACCA
rnacentral:tRNA from 1 species